AUAGACUCUGGGGAAGACUGUAUGUAGAUUGUUAUGUUGUGUUGGAAAUUCCCUGAUUUUAUGAGCACUUCUUUAUCUUGUUUAGAGUGUCUUGGUUCUAUAUGACUGAAAAGGAAUGUGAUCCAAGUUUUGCAGGGUAUGUAUUUCCUUUAGGAGGAACACAUGUUGUCAACUGCAGGAUAUUAUGUCCUGUUCUCCUUUUUUCUGGGAAUGACAAAUUCUGACAUA
rnacentral:lncRNA from 1 species